GCCUCAGUAGCUCAGUUGGUAGAGCAAGUGGCUGUUAACCACUGGGUCGUUGGUUCGAGUCCAGCCUGGGGCG
rnacentral:tRNA from 1 species